rnacentral:rRNA from 1 species
AUUGAACGCUGGCGGCAGGCCUAACACAUGCAAGUCGAGCGAGCGGCGGACGGGUGAGUAAUGUCUGGGAAACUGCCUGAUGGAGGGGGAUAACUACUGGAAACGGUAGCUAAUACCGCAUACCAUCAGAUGUGCCCAGAUGGGAUUAGCUAGUAGGUGGGGUAAUGGCUCACCUAGGCGACGAUCCCUAGCUGGUCUGAGAGGCUGACCAGCCACACUGGGACUGAGACACGGUCCAGACUCCUACGGGAGGCAGCGGUAGGGAAUAUUGCACAAUGGGAGCAAGCCUGAUGCAGCCAUGCCGCGUGUGUGAAGAAGGCCUUCGGGUUGUAAAGCACGUUCAGCGGAGAGGCGGUACUCGCAGAAGAAGCACCGGCUAACUCCGUGCCAGCCGCCGCGGUAAUUC